rnacentral:rRNA from 1 species
UACGUAGGGGGCAAGCGUUGUUCGGAUUCAUUGGGCGUAAAGGGUGCGUAGGUGGCGUCGUAAGUCGGGUGUGAAAUCUCGGGGCUUAACUCCGAAACUGCAUUCGAUACUGCGGUGCUUGAGGACUGGAGAGGAGACUGGAAUUUACGGUGUAGCAGUGAAAUGCGCAGAUAUCGGGAAGAACACCCGUGGCGAAGGCGGCUCUCUGGAACGCAACUGACGCUGAGACGCGAAAGCGUGGGGAGCAAACAGG